rnacentral:rRNA from 1 species
CACCCGCAGCACGAGUAGUGGUCACUUUUAUUGAGCCUAAAGCGUUCGUAGCCGGUUUUGUAAAUCUUCAGAUAAAGCCUGAAGCUUAACUCCAGAAAGUCUGAAGAGACUGCAAGACUUGAGAUCGGGUGAGGUUAAACGUACUUUCUGGGUAGGGGUAAAAUCCUGUAAUCCCGGAAGGACGACCAGUGGCGAAAGCGUUUAACUAGAACGAAUCUGACGGUAAGGGACGAAGGCUAGGGUAGCAAACCGGAUUAUAUACCCGGGUAGUCCUAGCUGUAAACAUUGCCCAUUUGAUGUUGCUUUUCCGUUGAGGGAAGGCAGUGUCGGAGCGAAGGUGUUAAAUGGGCCGCUUGGGAAGUAUGGUCGCAAGACUGAAACUUAAAGGAAUUGGCGGGGGAGCACCGCAACGGGAGGAAUGUGCGGUUUAAUUGGAUUCAACGCCGGAAAACUCACCGGGAACGACCUGUGCAUGAGAGUCAACCUGACGAGCUUACUCGAUAGCAGGAGAGGUGGUGCAUGGCCGUCGUCAGCUCGUCCCGUAGGGCGUUCACUUAAGUGUGAUAACGCGCGAGACUCACAUCUUUAAUUGCAAAUGUAUAUGAGAAUAUGCAUGCACUUUAGAGAAACCGCCAGCGCUAAGCUGGAGGAAGGAGUGGUCGACGGCAGGUCAGUACGCCCCGAAUUUCCCGGGCUACACGCGCAUUACAAAGAACGGGACAAUACGUUGCAACCUCGAAAGAGGAAGCUAAUCGCGAAACCCGUCCAUAGUUAGGAUUGAGGGCUGUAACUCGCCCUCAUGAAUCUGGAUUCCGUAGUAAUCGCGGGUCAACAACCCGCGGUGAACAUGCCCCUGCUCCU